GAACCGGGCACGUGCAGCGGCUCACCAGGCUCUGAACCUACGGGAAGUGGGCAAUGGGUUCAGCCCUCCCCUCUGCCCAGGUAGCCAAACUCCCCCUGCACGCUGGGUCAAGCCCAACGGGCGGCCUUUCUGCCCCCCAGCCCCAAGGCUUCUGCUGAGUCAGGGCUGGGGGCUGAGAAGCAAGUAGAGAAGACUUUUAAUGGCUCAACGAGAACAAGACCUUGAGUGGCCACCUACGGCCCAGCACCCUCGUGAGUCAGCUGACAGAGGCCGCGGAGUGUGAUGGUUAAGGUGGACCUUGGAACCUGACAGGUUUGGGUGGGAAUCCUGCCUCCACCGCACUGUAGGCCUUGGGCAAGCCGCACCAGGGUGGGCGCCGCGACGCCGAAGCACUGGGCCCGGCGGCCCAGCUCCAGCAGGCACAGCACCACGUUCUUCACGUUCUUGCGCAGCACCAGGUCGUCCGUCUCGAACAUCAGCACCUCUGGCCGGGGCGGGAGAGGGGAGAGGAGGGUAGGCAGCCUGAGAUCCCCGCCGACCUGCCCGGAGCAAGCAAGCGGAACAGGAUGGGUCCAGGAGCAAGAAGCAGUCUGUUCUGCUUCCCAUCCGCGCCUCUCACCUCCAGUAACCACCAGGCACCCCAGACUCAACUCCCAGCCCACACACAACCAGGCUGGGAUGCCUCUACUUGAGCUUCUACCACGUUGGGCUGUAAUUUAUGCAUCUUCUCAGCUGCCUCUCUUCCUGGGCCACAAACUUCUUGGCACUGGUUCUCAGCCCUCUCAGCGCUCGGUGCCCAGCACGACGCUCUACCCAAAGGAGAUAGGUGCUCGAAUCAUCCAAUCAACACAUUUAUUUAUUGGGGAUUUCCUAUGAGAUUGGGAAACUGAGGCAUGAAAAGGAAUGAGCUGGCCCAAGGCAAAUCUGGAAGGAGGACCAUGGUUCCUGUCCCUUGAUGCAGCCUGAGCCUCAGAGAGGAGAUUGACGCCUGGCAAGAUAAGGGUCUGGGGAGGGGGGCCCAGGGUGCUUACCUUGGAU